GUAUAUAUUAAUAUAGGCACAACAUUCUAUUAACAUACAUUGGGGUAAAUGAAGCAACAUAGACCUGAAAGGUCUACAAAAGGUGCACAGGUGGAGAUAUAAAGAUGACAAGGUGUGCACAUGCUCCCUAGAGAGCCAGCAACAACCCAUCAGGUUUAUUUCAAUAAUGAUCCUUCCGCAGGUUCACCUACGGAAA
rnacentral:misc_RNA from 1 species